rnacentral:rRNA from 1 species
UGGAGCAUGUGGUUUAAUUCGAAGCAACGCGAAGAACCUUACCAGGUCUUGACAUCCCGAUGCUAUUUCUAGAGAUAGAAAGUUACUUCGGUACAUCGGUGACAGGUGGUGCAUGGUUGUCGUCAGCUCGUGUCGUGAGAUGUUGGGUUAAGUCCCGCAACGAGCGCAACCCCUAUUGUUAGUUGCCAUCAUUCAGUUGGGCACUCUAGCGAGACUGCCGGUAAUAAACCGGAGGAAGGUGGGGAUGACGUCAAAUCAUCAUGCCCCUUAUGACCUGGGCUACACACGUGCUACAAUGGCCGGUACAAAGGGCAGCGACAUUGCGAGAUGGAGCGAAUCCCGAAAAGCCGGUCUCAGUCCGGAUUGGAGUCUGCAACUCGACUCCAUGAAGUUGGAAUCGCUAGUAAUCGUGGAUCAGCAUGCCACGGUGAAUACGUUCCCGGGCCUU